rnacentral:lncRNA from 1 species
UGUAUAAUAUAUAAUAUGUAUGUAUUAUAUAUAAUAUGCUCAAUGUAAUGUAAAAAGUUAGGGAUAUGAUAUGGAUUCAAUAGUAGUAAAUAUACGGGGUAAAUAAAAACUAUAUUUCAUAAGGUGUGCUCUAAGAAAGGUGAUUCAUAUAGAUAAUAAUGAGGCUAAGCUAUAAAACAAUAGGAAAGAUGAUUCAGAUAGGUUAUAAUGAUUGAAACCUUUAUAACUGUUGUUUUGACCAAAUUUUCAGUUUGCAUCUUUUUUGAGGAUCCUGUUGGCUAUUUUUUCAGUCUGCAU